CUACGGGUUGCACCAGUGAGGAAUAUUGCGCAAUGGGGGAAACCCUGACGCAGCGACGCCGCGUGGAUGAUGAAGGCCUUCGGGUCGUAAAAUCCUGUCAGAAGGAAAGAAGUGUAUGGUAGCUAAUAUCUGCCAUACUUGACGGUACCUUCAAAGGAAGCACCGGCUAACUCCGUGCCAGCAGCCGCGGUAAUACGGAGGGUGCAAGCGUUGUUCGGAAUUACUGGGCGUAAAGCGCGCGUAGGCGGUUUUAUAAGUCAGAUGUGAAAGUCCACGGCUCAACCAGGGAAGUGCAUUUGAAACUGUAAGACUUGAGUAUUGGAGGGGGUAGUGGAAUUCCCGGUGUAGAGGUGAAAUUCGUAGAUAUCGGGAGGAAUACCGGUGGCGAAGGCGACUAUCUGGCCAAAUACUGACGCUGAGGUGCGAAAGCGUGGGGAGCAAACAGGAUUAGAUACCCGGGUAGUC
rnacentral:rRNA from 1 species